GUUAAUAUUUUGAAUUAAAAAAUAUUUUAUAAAUUUUUUAUUUAAUCUCGUUUUAGCAUUAAAAGAGUAACGGAAAAAGUAACAAACCGUUACUUCUUAACCUUUAGAAGGCCGGGAUAUGAGAUUUUAGAACUUCCUUUGAAAAUGACUCAAAUUUGUGUCUUAUACCAUGGUUUUAUUAUAUACAAAGUUCCGAUCAUGGAUUGAAAAGAUAUAUUCAGCUUUCCGGCCUUUAAGAAUAAGAAAAAAAUUUUUAAUUUUUAAUUUUGCAAAUAAGGCUUAUAUAAGGAUUUUCAGGGUCGCUGAAUACAACGGUAAUAUCAAAUUUCGAAAUUUUUGAUUGGUGAGAGGAAUGUGUGAGAAGGCGAACAGAGGAGGUAGAGGAGAGAGAGGAGAGAGAGGUCAGAGGAGGUGCUGGAGGAGAGAGAUGAGAAGAGAGUCAAACGGAAGGGGAGGCGGAUGGAGAGGACGGAGAGGAAUAUGGAAGUAAGAAGAUAGAGAGUGCGAAGGAGCGGACAGACAGGAAGAAGACAAUGGCAGCGGAGGAGAAGAUCAAUGGGGGCGGAGAGGAGAAAAGUAGGAUGAUGCUGGAGGAGAGCGUGAGAGUAAGUAAAGAGGAUGGAGAGAUGGGGGAGAGUCAAGGGACAGAAGAUGCCUGUAGUGCGAUUCUGUAACUCGUUAAGAGUAGAAACAAAGGAAUGAGAGAAAAAAGAGGGGGGAAAAGGUAAUUGGCUUGUAGAGGGACGUGCAGAAGGUGGGUAAACGUUUGUUAGGCUGCACAAUGGCCAGAGCGCAAGAAGAUUGAAAGAGGAUGUAAAUAUUGGGAGUAUGUAUAUUGUAAUUAAGUUGUAUUAUAAUUAAGGACGGAAAAGUGAGGAGUUGUAAGGGGUUGGUCCUCGUGAAAACACCUCGUCAAUCCCUAAAGGAAUGCGGAAUAAAUUCUAUCUAUCUUCAUUAUUGUCCCAAAAAAUUUUAAAAAUUCAAACAUCAUCAAGAGGCGGUAGUGGCUCGCGCCAAGUGAAAGCGCAGCGCGAGCACAACCGUGCUCUUUACGCGAGUACGCGACUUGCGAGAACCCGAGAUUAUAGGAUCUCAGAAACGGCUAAACCGAUCAAGUUCUAACUAGGCUCAAUCGAAAGCUUGAGAUUGAUUUAUAUAAGAAAAUUGUUUUUAUUUUUCCUCUACAUGCCCUACGAGUGAAGGCAUUGCAAUGCAAAGUCUGAACUGUCAAAAUUUCAUUUAAAAUACGUCGUCGUCGUCAUCGUCAUUAUUAUCGGCAAAAGUUGCAGGUAUCUUUGCAGGUAGUGUGGAUGCCGAAAAUGAGGGACGAAAUUCCAUCUCGCGCAUAUCGGCUACCAUGUGGCGUUCGCAUCGUCACUAUAGCAUCGUAUAUAAGUCACGUGGGUCACCAGUCGCUCGCGCCAUGCAUCAGAUCACACGAAGUGACAUGUAUAGUGUGAAGUUAUGUUGAUUUUUUAACAUCUCAUCUAUUUAAUCAUCGACAAUGUAAAAUUAAUAAUUAAUCAGACAGUAACACAGUACAUUAAGAAAUAAUUAAUCAGAGAGUAAUAUAGUACAUUAAGAUUUUACACUUGUGUCGAUAAAAUAGAUGAGAUGUUGUAUUAUGUAAAAUUGUGUAUUGGUUUAUUGCUGUAAUUGUCAACUAAUUAAUCAUUGACACCAUUAAUCAAUGUAAAAUUAAUUAAUUAGAGAAUAAUAUAGCCCAGAUUUUACACUGGUGUCGAUAAGGUAGAUGAGAUGUUGCGUAAUGUAAAAUGUGUAUUGCUGUAAUUGUCAAUAAUGUUGUAAGGAUAAGAACUAUCACCAUCACCAAGGUAUUACGUUUAUCACCAAGAUACAAUAAUAUGAUUUAAUAGUAAAGUAAAGAAUAAAAAUAGUAUUAUUAAAACCAUUCUAUUCAUUUGAAAUUUUGUUAAAUCUAAUUAAUAGUUAUUAAUAUUGAUUGACAAUUACAGCAACAUUUAACCAAUACAUAAUUCUUCUACAUCAUACAACAUCUCAUCUCUUAUCGACACUAAUGUAAACUCUGAAAGCUAUUUUACUUUUUGAUUUUAAUUUUACAAUUAAAUAUAUAUUCUUAAUUUAAUAUAAAUGUACAUUUUUAUAAAUAUUUAAAAAAUUGAGAAAUUUAGAAGCGAGUUGUUUAAUUCAUUGAUUGAUUAUUUGUUUUAUGUGUAAAUGUUCUUUUUACACAAUAAAGUUGUAUUUGUGCAUAAUGCAAUUUAUUAAUCAAUGAUUAAAAUAUUCGCUUUAAUUAAUCUAUGUUACAUCGGAGGUUAAAUUUGAUGAAAAAUAUUUUAUCUUGGAUUUAUUUGAUAUAUAAAUAAAUGUGAUAUGUAUGUACUUAGGUUAAAUCAAAAGUGUGAUUUUUUGCUUUUUGAAAGAAGCUUACACAUAUACACUCAAUCGAAAAAAAA